AGAGGGUGAAGCGAUCUCCGAGGCUAAUUCUUAUAUAGUCCUCGCUCCGCCGUACUUGGAAUUUCUGAACCCUGUAUUGAGAGGGAUGCAUUCCCUUUCAUGACAACUGGGGAGAGAAGAUGUGAAGUUGCCGAACAAAAAUUAUCUUUAUUCCUACCCACCUCUUCCAUAUAUCUGAACUCAGAACAGCUCAACAUGGACCAAAAUACAAGAGUUCCAACUUCACAUUUCACCCCUUGAACAGAAGUAUAUUUAAAAGGGGAAAGAUUAAGAACCCUCCAGACUUAUGUUGCCUGGAUUGGUUAUAAAGGAGAAAAACAGAAUUGCAACAGAAUAAGCACAAGAGGCUCUUCCCAGACACAAUACCAUAGUCUUGAUCAUGACAGAAAUGGAAAGUCUCUUCAUGUAGCUGCAGAAGACGUGCGUUCCUUUGCUGAAGUCUCAUUUUUCUCUUUGCCACUUCAGGCAGGUGAAACUAAUCACUUUAGAAUUCUUAACAUGAAAUUGUUCGUACUGAGUAUGUUUAUUGCAAACUGUGGAAGCCCACGAGAUAUUGUGUAGGAUAUUUUCAAUAGUAAUGCAAAAAAAAAAUCUUGAAAUUUCCAGAGAGGGUAUA